GGAGAUGGAGACCCCAUGUUUUCACAGGGCUCCUGAUUUCUCCCCAUGCAAGGUCGGGGGAGGAGGGCAGCAAGAGUAGUAGUGGUCUCCUUCCUUACUGGGACCACGCUCUGAAGACCAUUCAUCCAAGCAAGCCCCUUUGUCUAGCAAACACCUUCUGCUCCUUCAAGUCUCAUCUGAAGCACCACCUCCUCCAGGAAGCCUCCCUGACGUUCCUGCCUGGGUAGCUGCUCCAUGGGGCUCCCACAGCACACCACUGUCACACUGCACUGUCACCAUCUGCUGCUUCUCAAUGUCCUUGACUGAACUGGUAGCUCCUCAAGGGACAGGAUGAACCAGUCACACAGCUCCUCUCCAAAGAGCGCCCGGCAGAGAAGGCAGCUGGGAGCGACGAAGGAGGGAGCAGCAGGUGCUUCGAGCGCCACUGGGUGGCCGACACCUGCCAGGCACCUCACACGCUCCGCUGCAGUUCAUCCUGCACUUUACUUACCCUUGAGUCCCCCUAUCUCUGAUCAUUGUCACUGGUUCCUAGGAAACUGACACUCGGGUCACAAAACUCAUCCAAGGUGUCACAGAACAAAUAAAGGACAAAGCCAGGGACCAAACUAAAGUCAACCUCUGCCUUUCUACAAUGCCAGGCUGCUCACCGUCAAGCAACUUGGCGGUGUCACCGAACUCUGCACCGGUGUACUGAGGUGAACAGCAUCCCCCA
rnacentral:lncRNA from 1 species